rnacentral:lncRNA from 1 species
UUUCUAUAGUUAACACUUGAAAAAAUUGAGAAUAUUCAAUGAUAUCAACAUGCAAAUAUUUGUAGGAAAACAGCAACAGACCAUAUCUCAAGCACUUCAAAGGAUGUUUGGCAGGCAUGAUCUUCCCAGAAACUAAAGGCUUAGAGCCAACCUGGGCAAAACCUCCCAGUUUGAGACACAAACUUCUCUUGGCAAAUGCUCACAGCAA